rnacentral:rRNA from 1 species
CGAAAUCAAAGAUUGACGGGGCCCACCACCGGUGGUCCAGGGGUUAAUCGAUAAACCGAGGACCUAACAGGGUAAAUGUAAUUGCCCGUUUGGAAACAGAUCUUUGCAGGCAAUUUCAAGGUGCUGCAUGUGUUGUCAGCUCGUGCGUGAAGGUGUCAGGUUAAGUCCUAUAAGAGCGCAACCCCUGUUGUUAGUUCCCAGCGAGUCAUGUCGGGAACUCUAACCGAGGGUGCCAGGGCAAAACUGUGAGGAAGGUGGGGAUGACGUCAAAUCAUCACGGCCCUUACGCCUUGGAAUACACACGUGCUACGAUGGCCGGUACAGAGAGCAGCCACCUCGCGAGGGGGAGCGAAUCUAUAAAACCGGUCACAGUUCGGAUCGGAGUCUGCAACUCAACUCCGUGAAGCUGGAAUCGCUAGUAAUCGGAUAUCAGCCAUGAUCCGGUGAAUACGUUCCCGGGCCUUGUACACACCGCCCGUCAAGCCAUGGAAGCUGGGGGUGCCUGAAGUCGGUGACCGCAAGGAGCUGCCUAGGGUAAAACUGGUAACUAGGGCUAAGUCGUAACAAGGUAACAAGUCGUAGAGUUUGAUCAUGGCU